rnacentral:rRNA from 1 species
GACGAACGCUGGCGGCGUGCUUAACACAUGCAAGUCGAACGGAAAGACCCUGCUUUUGUGGGGUGCUCGAGUGGCGAACGGGUGAGUAACACGUGAGUAACCUGCCCUUGACUUUGGGAUAACUUCAGGAAACUGGGGCUAAUACCGGAUAGGAGCUCCUGCUGCAUGGUGGGGGUUGGAAAGUUUCGGCGGUUGGGGAUGGACUCGCGGCUUAUCAGCUUGUUGGUGGGGUAGUGGCUUACCAAGGCUUUGACGGGUAGCCGGCCUGAGAGGGUGACCGGCCACAUCGGGACUGAGAUACGGCCCAGACUCCUACGGGAGGCAGCAGUGGGGAAUAUUGCACAAUGGGCGGAAGCCUGAUGCAGCAACGCCGCGUGCGGGAUGACGGCCUUCGGGUUGUAAACCGCUUUCGCCUGUGACGAAGCGUGAGUGACGGUAAUGGGUAAAGAAGCACCGGCUAACUACGUG